AGUGAACGCUGGCGGCAGGCCUAAUACAUGCAAGUCGAACGGCAGCACAGCAGAGCUUGCUCUGUGGGUGGCGAGUGGCGGACGGGUGAGGAAUACAUGGGAAUCUGCCCAGUCGUGGGGGAUAACGUAGGGAAACUUACGCUAAUACCGCAUGCGCCCUUCGGGGGAAAGCCGGGGACCUUCGGGCCUGGCGCGAUUGGAUGAGCCCAUGUCGGAUUAGCUAGUUGGCGGGGUAAUGGCCCACCAAGGCGACGAUCCGUAGCUGGUCUGAGAGGAUGAUCAGCCACACUGGAACUGAGACACGGUCCAGACUCCUACGGGAGGCAGCAGUAGGGAAUAUUGGACAAUGGGCGCAAGCCUGAUCCAGCCAUGCCGCGUGAGUGAGGAAGGCCCUCGGGUUGUAAAGCUCUUUUGUCCGGAAAGAAAAGCAUCCAGUUAAUACCUGGGUGUCCUGACGGUACCGGAAGAAUAAGCACCGGCUAACUUCGUGCCAGCCGCCGCCGUAAAAC
rnacentral:rRNA from 1 species